ACACACACACACACACACACACACACACACACACACACUAUGAAAGAUUAGGGGAUCCAGAGCUUGGUUUGUUGCAUUCAGUUGAUUGGAGUGUGGCUUGUCUGUAUGUGUGUGUGUGUGUGUGUGU